rnacentral:rRNA from 1 species
GACGAACGCUGGCGGCGUGCUUAACACAUGCAAGUCGAACGGUAAGGCUCCAGCUUGCUGGGGUACACGAGUGGCGAACGGGUGAGUAACACGUGGGUGACCUGCCCUUCACUUCGGGAUAAGCCUGGGAAACUGGGUCUAAUACCGGAUAGGACCGCACCGUGAGGGUGUGGUGGAAAGUUUUUUCGGUGUGGGAUGGGCCCGCGGCCUAUCAGCUUGUUGGUGGGGUAAUGGCCUACCAAGGCGGCGACGGGUAGCCGGCCUGAGAGGGUGGACGGCCACAUUGGGACUGAGACACGGCCCAGACUCCUACGGGAGGCAGCAGUGGGGAAUAUUGCACAAUGGGCGGAAGCCUGAUGCAGCGACGCCGCGUGGGGGAUGACGGCCUUCGGGUUGUAAACUCCUUUCACCAUCGACGAAGGGUUUCUGACGGUAGAUGGAGAAGAAGCACCGGCUAACUACGUG